rnacentral:misc_RNA from 1 species
UCGUAACGGGGUCGAGCAAUCGUCCCCGGGCGAACGAGCUGGCAGCGGCUGCCGCUGCCGCUCGUGAACCCAAUCCCUUGUCUAUGAGUACCCUACGUUUCCCUCGGCAGGUGCGCCUGCCGCAGGGACAAAAGUCAAACCCUUUUGCAACACUUUGUCUCAACCGUAUCAAAUCAAAUCUUA